rnacentral:rRNA from 1 species
CCUGGCUCAGGAUGAACGCUAGCUACAGGCUUAACACAUGCAAGUCGAGGGGCAGCAUGGUCUUAGCUUGCUAAGGCCGAUGGCGACCGGCGCACGGGUGAGUAACACGUAUCCAACCUGCCGUCUACUCUUGGACAGCCUUCUGAAAGGAAGAUUAAUACAAGAUGGCAUCAUGAGUCCGCAUGUUCACAUGAUUAAAGGUAUUCCGGUAGACGAUGGGGAUGCGUUCCAUUAGAUAGUAGGCGGGGUAACGGCCCACCUAGUCUUCGAUGGAUAGGGGUUCUGAGAGGAAGGUCCCCACAUUGGAACUGAGACACGGUCCAAACUCCUACGGGAGGCAGCAGUGAGGAAUAUUGGUCAAUGGGCGAGAGCCUGAACCAGCCAAGUAGCGUGAAGGAUGACUGCCCUAUGGGUUGUAAACUUCUUUUAUAAAGGAAUAAAGUCGGGUAUGGAUACCCGUUUGCAUGUACUUUAUGAAUAAGGAUCGGCUAACUCCGUGCCAGCAGCCGCGGUAAUACGGAGGAUCCGAGCGUUAUCCGGAUUUAUUGGGUUUAAAGGGAGCGUAGAUGGAUGUUUAAGUCAGUUGUGAAAGUUUGCGGCUCAACCGUAAAAUUGCAGUUGAUACUGGAUAUCUUGAGUGCAGUUGAGGCAGGCGGAAUUCGUGGUGUAGCGGUGAAAUGCUUAGAUAUCACGAAGAACUCCGAUUGCGAAGGCAGCCUGCUAAGCUGCAACUGACAUUGAGGCUCGAAAGUGUGGGUAUCAAACAGGAUUAGAUACCCUGGUAGUCCACACGGUAAACGAUGAAUACUCGCUGUUUGCGAUAUACUGCAAGCGGCCAAGCGAAAGCGUUAAGUAUUCCACCUGGGGAGUACGCCGGCAACGGUGAAACUCAAAGGAAUUGACGGGGGCCCGCACAAGCGGAGGAACAUGUGGUUUAAUUCGAUGAUACGCGAGGAACCUUACCCGGGCUUAAAUUGCAGAUGAAUUACGGUGAAAGCCGUAAGCCGCAAGGCAUCUGUGAAGGUGCUGCAUGGUUGUCGUCAGCUCGUGCCGUGAGGUGUCGGCUUAAGUGCCAUAACGAGCGCAACCCUUGUUGUCAGUUACUAACAGGUUCCGCUGAGGACUCUGACAAGACUGCCAUCGUAAGAUGUGAGGAAGGUGGGGAUGACGUCAAAUCAGCACGGCCCUUACGUCCGGGGCUACACACGUGUUACAAUGGGGGGUACAGAGGGCCGCUACCACGCGAGUGGAUGCCAAUCCCCAAAACCUCUCUCAGUUCGGACUGGAGUCUGCAACCCGACUCCACGAAGCUGGAUUCGCUAGUAAUCGCGCAUCAGCCACGGCGCGGUGAAUACGUUCCCGGGCCUUGUACACACCGCCC